rnacentral:lncRNA from 1 species
UACACUUUUGUUUUGUUUUUUAAAGAUUUAUUUAUUUAUUUAUGAUAGAGAGAGAGAGAGAGAGGCAGAGACACAGGAGGAGGGAGAAGCAGGCUCCAUACCGGGAGCGCGACGUGGGACUCGAUCCCGGGACUCCAGGAUCGCACCCUGGGCCAAAGGCAGGCGCUAAACCGCUGAGCCACCCACGGAUCCCCUUAUGCAAUACACUUUGAAGCCACUCAUUACAAGGUUGGAUUGCUCAACUCUUCCAGGAGGCCACUUGUCUCAAUAGAAAUUCAACAAUACCAAAGCCUAUACUCUUCUUAUUCAAAAUGACACAAUGACAGAAGCCAUAAGACUGAAAAGGAGAAGGAAAAGGAGGCACGAGCACAUUAUUAUUCUUUCACAGGAGAGGAGAGGCCUUUGAGUAUAAAAUGGAGGAGAGUGAGGAUGAGAAAAGGAAGAACUAGCAUUGUCUAGUGAUAUGAGAUGUACAUGUCACAUACUUCUGAGUUACAGUGGCUUGAACUUCAUUCAGGGGCAUUCACAACCACUAUAAUCAGAAAACUUCUUAAGCAUCAUGGAGAAAACCCUGAACACCAGCAGAUGUAUGUGAAUGGAGAAUAUGACAGAGAAGGGACAAGAAAUCUCAGUGUCAUAAAUGGUCAAUCUACUCUUAACUGAGCCCUCCAACUAUAUCAACACCUGAUUCUAAUGACAACUAAUCUUGUGACAUUAAUGAAAAUGCCUGUGUAUCUGUAAAUGAAUCAGAAGCUUCUGUUUAGUAAGGACUCCAGAACUUUGACAGAGGAAGUGCUAUGGAAAGAAAUGUUCUAGGAACUAGGAAAAUUAUGUAGCAGACACAAUAUUUUGAUUUAGAUUGUGUGUUUACUUAUGGUGGCUGGAGGAAGGGUAGCCUGGUCUUGGAGAUUUUCAGUAUUCUAAUGUCCAUCUCCCUCCCUAGGCCAUACUUUGAGUUCUCCCUGCCUUUGUCCUUAAAAAUAAUAAAGAGACUCAUCUUGGGUGCCUUGAAAUGACA